rnacentral:misc_RNA from 1 species
UACAUAUUUCUUUUUUCUAUAUUUUGUUAUUUUUAAAGCCUGAAAAAAGGUGACCCAGUCCACAAAAUAUCCUCACUUGUGGCCUUUAGGGAGGGUUGAUGUUGUAGCCUCACCCCUGCUUUGCAAAGAGGCUGUUUUGAUGGCUUGAACCCAUGACCUCUAGGUCACAAGUGAAGUAACUUUAAAUUCUGGAAAAUAAUAUAUUUUUUGAAUGCAG